rnacentral:tRNA from 2 species
UCCGGCAUAGCUCAGUUGGUAGUAGCGCAUGACUGUUAAUCAUGAUGUCGUAGGUUCGAGUCGUACUGCCGGAG